GAUGAACGCUGGCGGCGUGCCUAAUACAUGCAAGUCGAGCGAACAGACGAGGAGCUUGCUCCUCUGACGUUAGCGGCGGACGGGUGAGUAACACGUGGAUAACCUACCUAUAAGACUGGGAUAACUUCGGGAAACCGGAGCUAAUACCGGAUAAUAUAUUGAACCGCAUGGUUCAAUAGUGAAAGACGGUCUUGCUGUCACUUAUAGAUGGAUCCGCGCCGCAUUAGCUAGUUGGUAAGGUAACGGCUUACCAAGGCAACGAUGCGUAGCCGACCUGAGAGGGUGAUCGGCCACACUGGAACUGAGACACGGUCCAGACUCCUACGGGAGGCAGCAGUAGGGAAUCUUCCGCAAUGGGCGAAAGCUUGACGGAGCAACGCCGCGUGAGUGAUGAAGGUCUUCGGAUCGUAAAACUCUGUUAUUAGGGAAGAACAAAUGUGUAAGUAACUGUGCACGUCUUGACGGUACCUAAUCAGAAAGCCACGGCUAACUACGUG
rnacentral:rRNA from 1 species